UAAGACCCCUCGACCAUAUCUGGCUGCCAUUACCUGCACAGGAAGAGAAGAGGUUUAGAACCCUCUAUCCGUCUCUCUCAAGCCAUUUUCAAAGUCUAGCAGUGUGUCUUUUGAGAUACAAUCAAUCAAAGAGAAUAAUCUAAACUGGAUCCAAUAAAAAAUAGGGAUGAAUUUUUGAAAAGGGAUAAGUACAAUGGGAUUCAAGAUAAAAAAGAAAUUAGUAAUAGAAUACGACAGAUUCAUUGUGCAAUUCAUGAGUUGAGAAAAAUAUCCCAUUUCAUCCGAUGGAAUGGAGAGAAGAGCUUGCCUUUUACUCCCAGGGAAGUUUCCUUCACUGGAGAUGUGUAGCUCUAGCAUAAACCGAACCGUGUGCCGAGCCAUGAAAGUCUCACGCCUCUCUAGGAGGGACUGCACCCCUAGACCACCCUCACUGGUAGGAAGGCAAACCUACUCCCAAGCCACUAGAUGCACUCCGUGGCCCCCACUGUGUGACCCCCAUAAAAAGCUCCGAAGAAGACGCUCGACCCUCAA
rnacentral:lncRNA from 1 species